UUUUUUUUGGUUUUGAAAAUUUUCAUUCUUAGUUAUCUUUAAAAAAUCAUUGAUUUUUUGUUUGAAAAUAAGAUUUAUUUCUCAUGAAUCCUUAUUUUAGCAAUAUACAUAAAACAAGUGCAUAUUUGGCUAAUAGAGCCUAAUUUUUUCCCUACUGAAAUAAAUCUAGUACAAUUUUCAGUUAACCUUGCACUUUCAUGGGGGCAUUCUUAUUGGUUAAGAAAUUAAUAACAUCAACAACUUUAAAUUUUUGUUGAUAACGAUGAGAAGACUUUAGCCCCACCACUGUUCUAUAUGAGGCAUCAUCAUUGGAUCAUUUCUACACUCGCUGACAUUCGCUGGAAUGUAUAUUUCAACUGUGAAUGAAAAGCUGUGUAAAUUUUAGACGCUAACUAGGUAAAGUCAAGAAUACCACGUCUUACUGAAAGUCUAAGGUUGACAGAGAAUUGUACCAGCAAUCCAGAAAAACCAAAAUAAAUUUUUCUAAUCAAUUAAGACAAGGAAGCUUUUGAAUAGUGUAAAUGUUUUUAAAACAAAAAUGUAAAAUUAGAAUUAAUUACAUACCCUAGAAUACAAAUAGGAUCGUAUAUAAAAAUUUUUUUUUUUUUUUUUUGCUGAAAAUGUUUUUUAUAUAGAUGUUAUAUAAGGCUUUUAUAUGUCAGAAAAUAUCAUUGAAUAUGAUGCUUCUUAAAACUGAAUUUUAUUGAAAUACCAAGUUUAGUCAAGUUAAUGAUCAGAGUUGGUAACCAAGAUUUUUUCUACAUGUUAUUGAGGAAAGUUGUUUUUUUUUUUUUUUUGUUGUUUUUUUUUUUAUCUCACUUGAGCCAAUAUUGCUGAAUUUUGUGUGCAACACAUUCUUCUAUAAAACUUGACUCCACAAUACCUUUUGUUCCAAUUCAGCCAAGCAUGAUUAUCAUAGUUAAAAAUGCAUAUUUGGAUUAAGGAAAUUUAAAUAUUCAUAUAAAAUACUAUACUCUUGCAAAUUCAUCUCCUACAGUGUGUAUAUUUUAAAACAAAAACUAUAUUCAAGCUUUUAAAUAGAACGGAGAAAGAUAGUUUGUGGCCACAAUAUACUAGUAUACUCAAGAGAGCAUUAUUGCCCCUGCCUUUGAAUUUUUCCCUUUUAUUGCAUACUGUUGAAUCAUUUUUGCUCAUUGGGAACCAAUGUUCAUGGAUUUUGUGAUCAUCCAUGUCCACAAACAUACAUAUCCACAAAGUAACAUCCCCAUAAACAAUUUUUGUAUUUUUUAAAUUGCUGUAAAUGUAUAACAUUUAGCAGUGUAUUCUUUUCAGCGCUUUUUCAUGCAAUGAAGUUUCCGCUAAUUCAAGUACAACACUACCGGUAAAUGCCUUGCACAUAUUUAAAUUAAUUAUAAAAACAUAAAGAAAUGUGCUAAAUCAAAUCCAUGCUAAAUUGUUCAAAAGUCAAUUUCUGACAAAUAUCGUACACACUAAAUACAUGUAUAAAACAUUUACAGGAUUUGAAUAAAUAGAAUAACAUUCCCACCAACCAACAAAAUUUUGUUUAUCCAUGAUUAUUGACCUUCACUAAUUUAAAAAAUGAUUUUAAGGUACGUAGUUCAAAAAACCUUUAAGCAGUUGGUAUCUUUGAUAGGAUUUUACAUUGAAAACAUUGUAGUAAAGCCUCUUAAGUGCUAUUUAAUCCAUAGAAAAUUUGGAAAUUGCUAGACUAGUAUACUUGAAAUAUGUUUGAUUUAAUCUAUCCUAUCUUCAAAUUAAUGAAUACAUCUCACCAAGCAAAUAACCAAAAUAAGUCUGUUUGUCAGUAGUCAUGAAGUUGCACUGAUUCAUCAAAGCUAUGUUCUUGUGUUGUUGUGAUUUAUUUUUUCUCUGCAUUACCAUAUCAAAUGGGAUUACCAGGUCUCUGAAUGCAUGUGUAUUAACCAAAAUAAAUUUUACCUUUUCAUUAGAUAAAAAGUAACUGUUACAUGUAGUAGUAAUAAUAUUCUAACAAACCAGCCAUGUAUAAAUAAAUCUUGCAUGAAGAAAGUGUAAUUGUCAUGAUAUGUAGUGCAUGUACGUUAUGAACAAAGAAAUAACAAAAAAAUAAAAGGUAGAUCAAAAUAAUAAAAACACCACAACAUGUUAAAUUUCUACAUGUACAUUAUUAUUGUAUGAAAUCUUUAUAUGUGAUACACAUUUAUACAUUGUAUUACAGGAAGUCUUUCAGUAUGUCUUUCAUUUCACUUUAAACAGUACUUAAAUAAAUAUAUGGCUAUAUUAUAUUAUCAAGUACAUGUAAAUGAGAUAUAUGUUAUUUCAGAUAAUCCUAAAAAUGUGGAUGUACUCACAGAAUUAGAUUUCACUUCUAAUAUCUACUUCGACUGCUUAACCUCAUAUCAAUAUUUACCUUUUUUCUCUUCAUAUCUGUUUUAGUGUACAUGGAUAUGUUUCAUUUAUUUCAAAGAGAAGACGGUGUUAUUCUGGAUGUUUUUUUUUUUAAUGUUUUUUAAUUGUUUUGAAAAUUAUGCCUCCUUAUAGUGUUAAAUAGUAAGAAAUAAACUAAUUUGGCAGGAAUUUAAGAUGCAUCAUUGUGAAAAACUUAAAAGGACACUGAAAUAUUUCAUGUAUUAAAUGUACAUUUAGAAAUUUUUUGAAUGGGAUUAUUUUAUGUUUUUCUGCAUAAAUUUAUGAUGGAAAUUUUUAGAAAAUACAUUUAAGGUUUUAAAACCCUCUGCUCACUCAUAUAAAAAGUUGCUUGAACCUUAAUGAAUUUCUAAAAGAAUUGUAUUUUAUAAGUAAAAUACAAGCAUUUAAAGCAAAGCUUGUGGGGUAAAAUUGGACCAAAAAGACACUUCAACUUGACAAAUCUGUAAAGGGGUAAUAGACAUAUAUGUCAUUAAGAGUUAUCUCUCUUAUCAGCAGUAUCAAUGAAUCUUUUAACCUUAAGACUUGCAUUGACAAAUGAGAGUUUCUGUGUAAUUUCCCAUCCACAUAUGAAACAGAUUAUCAAUCCUUAGAGUUAUCUUGCCAUGGAAGAAAUUAUAAAAUUAUUCACCAUAUUAAAAUUUUAAAAUCCCAAGCACAAUCACACCGUAUGUAUAUAAUAUAAGCAGUACUGGAUGCAUUUGAUUAAUAAUAAUAUGACAGAUGACUGUUAAAAUUACUGUAUUUUACUUCUUGUUCUUUUUUUUUUGCCUUUAACAAAUGCAGAAAUCCUUUUAUAUAUAUAGUUUGCAGUAUUGAUAUCACUGAGUUAUCCAUUUUUCUCUUCUUAUGUUAUACCAUACUCAGUUGUAUUUGUUUUUAUAUUUUAUGCUGUUAAAAUGCCUUUUUUUCUCUGUGUAAAUGGAUGGUGCAUAUUUCUGGUGCUUAUUGUUUACGGUAGCAACGGGAAAUUAUUGUAACUGUUUGUAUUGCUUUUAUUUUUAUUGUUUGUAUGUGUAUAUCUUUUGUUCUCUAGUUAUGCACCAACAUUCCCACAUACAUGUACGUUUGCAUUUUAUAUGCUUUUAAAACACAUGUGUUCUAUAGCGUGCAAUUAUUAUAGUAGAAUUCAUUGAAGGUGCUUUAAAGGUUUCCCCCCAGAGUAUUGAAAUAACACAGCUAAAAGACCCAAGAAAGUAAUUCUUUGAAGUAUGAUUACAUAAUAAUUAACAUAAGAAAUACUUAUGCUAAAAUAAAUGUAAAAGAUUUUACUAUUUGUCAUUAUUUACAUAAAUUUACAUUUGAAAAAAAUGCAUUAGUUAUUCAUUGAAUCAAGUUCAACGUGUCUUGAAAAGAAAAAAGAUAAAUUUUGAUAGCAUUAUUAAAACUGAAUUUCACAUUGAUGAAUUAUCAGCGGAACAUUUGGUUUAAAUUGAUGCUGAAUUUCAUUCAGAUUAAAAAUUCAAUUUGUUUUUAAAAAGUAUAUUUUUACAACAUCACAGCAAGUGAAAUUCUUUGCUUUUCACUUACAAAUUAUGAUCAAAACUAUGAAAGGGUUUUAUCAUUGCAGACCCCUCCCCUUCCAAUUUUAAUCUUUGCAGACCCCCCUCCCCCCUCCCCUCAAAUUUUGAAUUAAACUAGGUUAUAGUUAGUAAGUGCAAAAUGUGGGUUAAACUUUUUAAAUCAUGUUAAUAGCCAAAAUGGGGAAAAAAAACAUACUGCUUUCAAAUGCUUAAUUCUUGCCUUUUUUUAAUCAGAAUUGUAAAACUAUGAGAACAUUUAAAAUGCUUGAUUUUUUUUAAUUUUUUUUUUUUUUUGGGGGGGGGGGUAGCUUUUGAAGUAGGAAAUUGAUUAAAUAUUUUAAAAGAUAACAUAUUGUUAGAACAGUGACCCGUUACAUGUAGUAGGCAAACACAGUUUGAAGACAUAUAUGUUGAUACACUCUCUGUAUUGUUAAUUACAGUUAAGGUACUUAGUCUAUGCAAUCAGUUUGAAUUAAAUUUGUGUAUGUGUAAAAUAAAGAAUAUUAGACAAAACAA